rnacentral:rRNA from 1 species
UACGAAGGGUGCAAGCGUUAAUCGGAAUUACUGGGCGUAAAGCGUGCGUAGGCGGUCUUUUAAGUCCGAUGUGAAAGCCCCGGGCUCAACCUGGGAAUGGCAUUUGGGACUGCAAGGCUUGAGUGCGGCAGAGGAGACUGGAAUUCCUGGUGUAGCAGUGAAAUGCGUAGAUAUCAGGAGGAAUACCGGUGGCGAAGGCGGCAUCCUGGACCGGCAUUGACGCUGAGGAGCGAAAGCCAGGGGAGCAAACGGG